GGGCUCGUAGCUCAGUCUGGAUUAGAGCACCACCCUUGCAAGGUGGGGGUCCCGGGUUCGAAUCCCGGCGAGUCCA
rnacentral:tRNA from 1 species